AGACAGAUUAUUAAUUAAGAGACAAGUAAACUCUCUAGUUUUAUUAAUACAUCAAUGAAUAAAAGUUGCAAAAUUAUCGCCGAAUGGCGAAAAGAAAUAUCGCAGAGUCUUGACCAUUGACAGUAGAUUACUUGGAUGUUAUAAUAAUUUUUCUUUGGCGUCUGAAAGAUGAAAUAUUGACCCGAGAUUAUUACCCAAUUCAUGAUAAGUUUGAUAUAAUUCGUAUUAAUAUUAAAAUGCCACGCGCAAUCAAAAAAUGAGGAUAAAGGAACAUUUUUUUACUGAAAUAUAAUUUAAUUCUAGCGUUUCAAAGCUGGAUUAAAAUACGCGAAACGAAAUAAAUAAAAGUUAUGUAGAGCAAAUAAUAUGAGCAAAAUGAUGAGCAUUACGAUAACAAGCAUGGUCAAAAGGCGUACUUUAAUUUAAUUGCUGUAAACCGUAAUGCGGUUCAACUUUCGGCUUCUCAUGUGAAAAUUUCAAUGCCCUCCAGUGCCUUUUCCUGUGAAAAUUUUACACACGUUGGCUCUCGCGAGAAUUACAUCGAGAAAAUUUUGUCGAAAGAAACAGUGCAGCAUCUUGUCGAGAAAAAAAAAGAAAACAGGAAGAGUUCAAUGGGACGAUAUUCAAUGAAAGAUACUUAUCGAAGUCCGGCGUUCUCAACAACGCUAGACUAACUCGAACAUCGACCUCCGAUGUGCAUAACUUUACCGAUGCUUUCAUGUAAAUUCAACGUUGACCCAUUCCACCUCAGGUUUAUACCAGUGGUAAUCGCAUUCGACGUGGAGCGAACAAAGUUUCCACUCGAAAGUUUACAACAAAGUGGCAGUCCAAGUUAUCCUGCCUGUCGAUCCAAAAACGCUUCUCCACCGAACACUAUUAUUACUUUUGGAAUUCAUUAAAGAAUCGACAAUUUCAUCAAAC